rnacentral:rRNA from 1 species
CAGUCGCCACGGUAAUACAGAGGGUGCUAGCGUUAAUCGGAUUUACUGGGCGUAAAGCGUGCGUAGGCGGUUUGUUAAGUCGGUUGUGAAAGCCCCGGGCUCAACCUGGGAAUUGCAGUCGAUACUGGCAGACUAGAGAACGGUAGAGGGAGGCGGAACUCCAGGUGUAGCGGUGAAAUGCGUAGAUAUCUGGAAGAACACCGAUGGCGAAGGCAACCUCCUGGGCCUGUUCUGACGCUGAGGCACGAAAGCGUGGGUAGCAAACAGGAUUAGAUACCCGUGUAGUCCCUGUCUCUUAUAA